rnacentral:rRNA from 1 species
AGCGAACGUUAGCGGCGGGCCUAACACAUGCAAGUCGAACGCGAAAGGUCUUCGGACUGAGUAGAGUGGCGCACGGGUGAGUAACACGUAGGUAAUCUACCCUUUGGGCGGGGGAUAACGUCCCGAAAGGAGCGCUAAUACCGCAUAAGACCACGGAGUCUCCGGACGCUGUGGGAAAAGGUGGCCUCUUCUUGAAAGCUACCACCGAAGGAUGAGCCUGCGUCCCAUCAGCUAGUUGGUAAGGUAAUGGCUUACCAAGGCGAAGACGGGUAGCUGGUUUGAGAGAAUGAUCAGCCACACUGGCACUGGAACACGGGCCAGACUCCUACGGGAGGCAGCAGUGAGGAAUAUUGGGCAAGUGGGCGAAAAGCCUGGACCCCAGCCACGCCGCGUGAGUGAUGAAGGCCCUCGGGUCGUAGAGCUCUGUGGAGAGGGACGAAAACCCUGGUUUCAAAUAGGACUCCAGGCUUGACGGUACCUCUUUAGCAAGCACCGGCUAACUCUGUGCCAGCAGCCG